GCGUAGGGAUCUUUAGCUGUGGGAGGAAACCGGAGGACCCGGAGGAAACCCACGAGGUUGGACAGGCGACCCUACUCCUUGUCACGUACAACCGGGGAUUCGAAACCACGCCAGUUGACUCAAUGACAGACUUUAUGAUACAGCUAACCAUUCAGCCAUCCAACCCCCCCCCCCUCUCUCACUUGGAUCACGUCCUCAACACCUCUUGUUUGAUUAGUACCAUGGUACCAAAGGAACCUGAUACUAUUCUUCUUGGAGUGGCAAGACUUAUGCUGGAAGUAUUUUGUGAUGGAUAUUACAUGGUUCCAAAUAAAAACCAUCUGAAUUUAUUGUUGAUGGUUAAAUAUCAAACAGACCUCAUUUUAAACGGUGGUGCUUAUCUUUUUGACACACAUAAUUUUUACCUGUACUACUGCUCAAAAGCUUUUAAUUUUGUUUUAAAAUUCUGUUAAUUCGUUGAUAAAUCACGUUAUUCUAUUCUCUAGUCAUGGUAGUCAGUUAAACUUGAAACCUGUAUGUUUAAGUUGUAACCACUGUAAAAAGGAUGGCUGUAGAAGAAUCAUGUUCGUUCUGAAUCUAAAUGUAAAACCUAUUCCCCCCCCCCCUCCCCAGCCGCUGAUCAACAGAAAUGAGCAAAGUGAACCUGGGCACUAAACAAUAUUCAGAAUACAAGUUAUUUAGAAGUUUAUUUUGUUUGUGGCUUGAUAAAUACAAGAGAACACUUUUCAAGACGUCGUCAGAAAUGAACUGUGAAAAAACUUGUAUUUAAUACACCGGUAUAUUAGUCAUGGUUUAUUCAAUACAGUUACUAAAUGCAGCUUUAACAAACUACAUUUUUUAAUGGUUUAUUUACAGAGAAGAAAUGGGAAACAUUACCAGGCUGCCAGACACGCCCCAUUGAUAACAAAGGUCUGCCUGCUGCCGCUGUACACAAAACACCCAACCCAGAACCAAUCGAUGCCACAAAAUUGCCGCUAGCAGAAAAAAUUCGACGACUUUCAAUGUUUUUACGAAGUGAAAAAAAAGUAAUCAAUGAAAUUAUGUUGUUUGAGAAUUCUCUGAUGAGUUGUAAAGUUGGAAUUUGACCAGAUUUUUUGAUCGAUGGCAUGGUACAAGGAAAGAACGGAUCCUUUUUCACUGGCCGACUUAAUCUGGGUGGUGUGUUCCUAGCCAGAGCUAUCGGCAUCAACAAGAAAGAAAUCAAACUGUCAUGUUUCAAGAAGGCGGUGGAACUUUAUCGUACCCUUCCUGUCACUGAAAUUUUGAACCAGGAUGAUAUGACCCCAAAAGUUAUCAAGGAGAAACUGGAGAAUUUUAACUCGACCGUUGCUAAGAUGGAGAAAGAAACAAUUGCAGAGUUACCCCCACCAUCUAUUUUGAAACAGAUCCAAGAUAUUCUAACCAAUCCUAAAUAUGCUUCAACCAAUUCAGUCAGCAAAAUGGAGUUGGCGGCCUCUGUGGCUAAAUGUCGAGUCCGUUGUCGAUAUGAUGUAGAGAGUUGUAAAGCUGAAUCAGGGAAAGUUUAUCAUAAGGGAAUGUACUUUAUUGACAACAUACUACAAGGUGCAGGUGUUUCAGUUUCCAAAAAAACUGCUAAGUCAUUGUGUUAUAAUAUGGUGGUUGAACGACUGACCACCAUGAAUGUUGAACAUGGCAACAUCUUAGAUGGUGUCGAACAGUCUGUCAUAACAGAAGCAGAAGCACAGGUUCAGAGCACUUUGGUAAAGGCAGCACCAAAUCCUAGGGCAUUUGAUCUCCGUGAACAGUUUGUCAAAAUGAACGAACUUAGCAGUGCCACGCAUCCUGCAUCCAUCAUUACUGUCUUGGAUGGAAUUUUCAACGAUGUAAAAUUGACGCCCAUUUGUCUAUACCGUCGUAGCAUGAACACAGAAAUAGAAAAGGAGAAAAUUUUCUGUAACCUCUAUCUAGCUGGUCAUCUCAUCAUGAUUGGUGAAGCAGAGAACCGAACAGAUGCCCAAGCAGACGCUUACUCUAAAGCCCGAUAGGUUUCACGAACUGUGACCCCGAGUUCAUCCUCCCCCAACACAGUAAACUUCAACCACACGACCAAGCAGCAACAGAUGUUAUCGACUUUCGUGUCAAGGGCAACUGCAUUUUGGAAGAUAACUGUUUGAAUCUUCAUCGCUUACAAUGGACCCGAAAACCUAUAUCAACACUACCAGCCAAGGAUAUCGUUGUCUUUGAGGACGUCAGUUGGAUAGUAGAUCGUAAAGUUCAAGGUUUCUAUAUUUUACAACAUUCAUGUUUUGUCAACAAUAUGUUGUUGGAAUGGGAGUUUUUUGACAAUGAUGAUCGUGUAUUCAGAUGUCAGAUGAAGAUACAGAAGGAAGAUGUUGGAACCGAACCUGCAGUGUCUCUUAGUAAGAUAGGCUCUAGAAAUUUUGCAGCAGCUGAUAUCUUGUUUAAGCUCUACGAAACACAACCAGUCAUAGAGGUUUCUGCUUACACUAAACCUGAUCAAGCGAUAGAAUCUGUCAGUUUUGAUACGUUGCUUAAAGAAGCGGAGGUGUUGAAGAAAGCUGCCGAGGAUGCAGGAGAAAACGUUACAGCUACUACAGCUGAGGGAACUGAUUCAGAAACUGAGACCAGUGACACAGAUGUUGAAAUGAAGGAAGAAGUAACAGAUUCACAGGCUAAGAAGAAAUAUCCUAGAAAACCACAUUACCGUCAUGCUGAUAGAUUUAUUUUAAAAGCUGCCCAGGCACGACUAGACGAAUUCAUUAAAGUUAAAAUGCUAAAAGAUCUACUGUUUGGACCUGCUUUCCCUCAUCAUAUCACACGCCAGAUUAACGGCUUACUGUAUAACCUCCCCGUUCCAGUUCGCUUUAUAAAUCAUUCCACUAGAAAUCAGAUGUACACCAUUGUAACGCAAAGUAUGUCACCGAUCAAAAUUGUCGCAUUUCUCAAAGCCAACGGUGGACAGUCUGGUCGCUUUCGUUUAGUCGACAAAUCAGAACUUCCGACACAUAAGGACAUUUUACCAGAACUUAAAAGUAGGGAAAUUUUAACUAAGAUCAAAUCCAAAUUUUAGUAGAAAUUUCAAUUUUGAUUGGCUAAGCACUAAAACCAAUCAAAUUGUUGGCUUUUUUUUGCUAAUAAAUAUAAGUGCUAGUCUAA